rnacentral:rRNA from 1 species
AAUCAACGCUGGCGGCGUGCCUCAGACAUGCAAGUCGAACGCGAAAGUCCCCUUCGGGGGACAAGUAGAGUGGCGCACGGGUGAGUAACACGUAGGUAAUCUACCUUCGGAUGGGGAAUAACAAUCGGAAACGGUUGCUAAUACCGCAUAAUGCAGCGGCACCUAAUGGUGACAGUUGUUAAAGCGGGGGAUCGAAAGACCUCGCGUCUGAAGAGGAGCCUGCGGCGGAUAGCUAGUUGGUAAGGUAACGGCUUACCAAGGCGACGAUCCGUAGCCGGCCUGAGAGGGCGGUCGGCCACACUGACACUGACAUACGGGUCAGACUCCUACGGGAGGCAGCAGUCGGGAAUUUUGGGCAAUGGGCGAAAGCCUGACCCAGCAACGCCGCGUGAAGGAUGAAAUCCCUCGGGA